AAUAUAACUGUCUCUGACUCUGACUAUACAUUUGGCUACUAAUUUAUUUUUUAUCUACGUAAAUAAAUUCUUGGCUUUGAUAGUAAAUCCAGCUUGUACACCAUUAACCCUGGCACAUUUCGCAGGUCUUCAGUGAGUUUCGAUUCCCGGGCGUGGACGGAUUAACGGAUUGACAAGAGAAAGAAGUAAACUACGUACAAACACAGAUUUAUUUAAUCGUGUAACAAUAAACAAGAUACACGGAACGGCCAAAAACAUGCCUAAUGUACCACCCAGUAAAAAACUGAAGCAGACGGACCUUUUGAGUUCCUUUCAACAGAGUCGUAAAAAGCAGACUACAACCAGAGACAGUGAAUCUGGGGAGACGUCACAAGCUAGAGACAAUGUUCAGUGCCUGAGGGCUAUCAACAUUCCAAUAUGAAAUCACCAAUUACUUACUAAAAAUGUCACCAAAUGUAACCAAAUGUCACCAUAUGAAAGAUUUUUGAAAUUCUCAAAGCCACAAAUAAAGAAAAAAGCCACAUUAUCUAGAGCACUUUAAUGUCUUUUGUACAACAGCAAAAUAAUAUAACAAUGGCACAGUUUUAGCUUACAACAGGAAAUAAUGGUGGAAUUGCAAAAAUUUUUUUUUGUUUGUUUGUUUUUCAGCAGUGGCAAUGACAUCGAAUUCGUUUUUUGAUUUAAUAUUGAAUUCGGAAAAUGAAAAAACGGCACCUUUUUCGUUUUUCAUUUUUUUCUAACAAAACGAAAAACAAGAAUUUGGCUUGAUUUUUCGUUCAGGGGUAGAAAAUGAAUAAACAACUUGAAUAUUUGAUCUCAACAUGUGGGCGGGAAUGAAACACCCCUUUCCGCUGAUUGGUCAACCAAACAUUAAACGGUGCCGUCAUCAGUUCUUCCGCAGUUCAGCGCAGCAGAAUAACAGUCCUCCACUGCUAUGGACUGCAACGUUUAUUGCAACAGCAUAUAAUCUCUUUUAAAUUUACAUUUAAUCUUAAUCUCUAUCUCUUUCUCAUCAAACAGCCAGACUAACGAAUGACUUGACACAUAUGCUACCAUAUCGAGGCAGAGCCUAGAGGUUUUUCUUCUGUGUGUCUAUAAAUUCGGCAACUUACGCGUGUUUAUCUCAGAAAUAUUAUUAUCAUUAUACUAGUUUAUCUCAGAAAUAACAAUUUACUUAGCACCUGCUCUCACAACUACCUAAUAGCCAACACC